rnacentral:tRNA from 3 species
GCCGAGGUAGCUCAGGUGGUAGAGCAGCGGACUGAAAAUCCGCGUGUCGGCGGUUCGACUCCGCCCCUCGGCA